UAUCUACUACGGUGAUCGAGUUUCAGGCUCGGGAAACUUGAGCCUAUUUCACAAAACCCGGGGAACGAAAUUGCAAGGUUGUUGUGUAUGUCCAUAAAAAUGUGGAAAACCUGAUACCUUGCUCAAAGUUCCCACUUGAACCCAUGGUUCAAGUUCAACGCCUGUAUCGGCGCCGUGGUUGAUAC
rnacentral:other from 1 species